rnacentral:tmRNA from 1 species
GGGGGUGACCUGGUUUCGACGUGGGUCACGAAACCUCUGGGGCAUGCCGAGGUGCCGAUCUCCUCGUAAAUCCAGCGGCAAACACAUAGUUGCCAACAACGACAACUACGCCUUAGCGGCUUAAUCCCCGCUA